GAGGAGCUACAGCAGAGGAUAUGGGGGAAGGGUCUGCACCUGGCAAGGCCCCACAAAGUCCUGCUCAGUUAGAGUUAGGAGUACAAGAGGUUUAGUGAGGGGGUGAUGUCUGUGAGAAAUAAAAGGGAGAAGAAGCAGGCUUGGGCUGGGAAAGCCCCAGACUGCUAAAGAGAUUUGACCUUAUCAGUUAACCCAGUUAGAAGUUCUAAAGUAACUGCUACCCUCAGAGCAGUCCCAUCUUAGCAGAAAUGACUAUGUCCCCAUCUCCGUGCCCUGCUGAGUCACUGGCUGGGAGUCUCUAGGAAUGAACCUGGCCAAGAUGCAAAAGCCUAGGUGAAGCCUGGGGGUGCCAACAGUGGUAAGGCGUCAGCUCAGCACAAUCCUUGUAGCUGUCGCUCUAGCAGCUGCAGCUUCUCAGUAGAAUCAGGAGAGGGCGCCCACGGACCUGUCUUUGCCUCGCUCCUAGCAAAGCCUCGCGACCGGGUUAAAGUCAAUCCCGAAGGACUUCAGAAUGUGGCCGUAUUUGGAGGAUUCUUCACCACUGAGUCAUCUGGGAAGCCUGACAAAAACAGAUCAGCCAAUACACUGAUGUCUUGGAGGAUUCACCAGAUUUCUUCUGUACAUGGGGACAGCUCCUAUGGUGGAAAAUGGCAAUUUACAUGGGAUAAGACUUCUACCUGACCUUACCUGUGUGUCCUCUGCAAGCUUAUCCAGGUGGUGCCAUCUAUCUUUCUGUUUCUCCACCAAAGAGAAAGCACACGUGCUGAGUUGCAGCAAAGCACUCCAGAUAUGAGAGAAAUAGGUUGAAGAAGAUGCCUCAUGCUUAAUUUUCCUAGACAUGCAGAACUAGAUCAAAUCUCGUAUAACCAUGUCAUAAGACAUUGGGCAUCUAUAAAU
ensembl:lncRNA